CAACAGUUGGCACUUGUCUUAUUUCUGGAAGGCCCAUAGGUCCUGCUUUGGUGACUCCGUCACCCGAGUGCAACCCAGAGCUGUGAUUAACUGGAAGUGGAAUUUAUUUCAUUUAAGGAAUUUCUAAACACAGGAAACUCAAUGCAUUUUACCAUCCAAAAGUGUUUGACAUGCAUAAGGAAAUGGAGCAUGAGGUUAUAUUAUAUAUCACCUCUGUCCUUUCAGGGACCAAUGACCCACAUUUCGGAAAUAUUAUCUGGGAUUGGGAUGUGAUGAACAAAACCAUAAGACACACAGAGUCUGACCAAGAGCCCAUACCUCCCAGCACUCUCUAUUUCUGAUGGAGAAACCAGUUGUGGCUUUUCUACUUGACUUUGUCCCUAGACACUGGUGAGUGUUCUAGCAUGCUUGGCUGAGCAUGGGUACUAAAAAUGCAGGACACAGAGUCAGCAGAACGGUGCGAGUCCCAGCUGGGCCAUUGCUAACCUUGUCUAUUGGUGUUUGGCUCCUUAUCAGUUAAAUGGAGAAACCUAGGUGCCCACCUCCCAGGCAGCUGAGAAAUUAGAAGGCAGUGCUGGUGCAAUGUGCUUCCUGGACAACAAUGCUGAGAGUUGCUGUUUUAACUAGGAGUGCAUGUCAACACCAACAAUUUAUCAUAAAUUAGCCAUUAUAGAUAUUACCCACUAAUUUAUUAAAAUAUUUCCUUUAGUGUUUUAAUAUUUUUGAUCUGCAAAACUUUCUGGACAAUGGUUUCCAAGAAGAUCAAAGAGUCAAUAUUUGUGCAUUGGAAAAGGGCAGGAUUUCUAUUGAAGCAAAAAAAAAAAAAAUCAAAAGCAGAUUCCCUUUCUUUUGAAAAUAUACUUCCUUUUUUUAAUCCUCUUAAGCCUUAAAAAGGUGUUAAUGGUUUGUACAGUCUCAUUUUAACUUCCUUAAAGUUAAACAACUUAGGAAAUUGGUUAGACAAUUUCCUUGCCAACCUUAUAGGGAAAGAUGGGUCUUGCUCAUAAUGACAUUACUUUGCACUAAAACCACAUCAUGUACCUUGGAGUAGCAGUUAAAUCUGAAAAACAACAUGCACAUGUCGUCAAUUAAAGAUGAUAAAUAUAGGCUUUAAAAUCAAAGAACUGAUCUAAAGUAAGAGAUUGACAGUGCUGGCUUCAAAGGGGCAAGGACAAAUGUCUAACUGGAAUUGCGUGAGAUUUUGAAGAGAUGAUCAUCACCAUAAGAAGAGAAUCUUUCCCUGGAAACAUAUUUCAUUUAACAAUGUAGGCCAUUUGUUACGUCAUGAAGAAACACGGAACUACAAAGCAACACCACUUCACAAGCAAAUAACACCUAGGUGUUCAGAGUUUCAUUCUUGCUGAGGCACUGAUUCAUAACUGUGUAUUGUCAGGGAACACCCUAAUUAGCAGGUGAAACAUUGCAGACAUAAGCCAAUACAAUAAUUAUUUAGACUUUUAAGGCUAAAAGAAACCCUAGGGAUCAUCUAGUUUAGGAGGAAGAAUUAUUCUUUAGAAUUUCCUGUGACCCUUGAGGCAACAUGAAGAAAAGUGAUUGUAACCAUGAAAUGUAUUUAUCCAAGGAUUAUAAAUUGUAUUGUGCUCUUUGAAAGGUCUAAAAAUAAUCAUGGGAUAAUAGAAUUCUAGAGCUUGGAGGGAUUUGAGGGUCUACUGAUUUCAGUUUCUUCUGUCCAAUGCAAAAAUGAUUCCUUUUUCAAUAUUCUUGGCAAAUUCAUCUCUAGCUAAUAUGUACAUGUAAAAGGGGGACAUCAUAAGAAAUAAUAAACUAUUUGUAUAAACUUAUCAAUGUUACUGUUUUAAAGGAAAGAUUGCUUUGUUGUUCUGUGCCUAUCACAAUGCUUGGCAUGCAGUGAUCAGUGGGUGUUGCUAAGAGUUCAAGACGAUUCUGGAACUUUUCUGCAUCUAGUUGACCAUCCAGACUGGACUGGCGUAUCCAUGUUAACACAGAUGUACAUCGACUAUGCCAGCAGAGGUAAAGCCAUUCUACUUCUCCAAAAUUUCACAUUACAGUUAACCUACUUCAAUAUAUCUAAUCUGCAGUUAGAGUUGGAUAUGUCCUUAGCAGCUGAUCUGACCUGUAUGGUUUUUCUUUACAUAAGUACAUGAGUAAAUUUGGGACUCAUGUACAUUUGGGAUGACAUAAGUACAUUUGGGACUCCUGCUGGCCUGAUUUUUCUUAAAAAUCUUCAGUGUCCUCUCUGUUGGCUCUUGGGUUCUUCCUUAUAUCUGAUUACAAUGUUACAUCAUCCAUCUCAUUCUCUAUGUUAUGUCUUCUAAAAACCUGGAGAAUAAAUGCCAACUCCCUUUUCUUAUGAAAAACCUCAUUCUCUAUCUGGAGACAGUAUAUCACCCCUUCCUCUAAUCUGCCUAAAUGUUCUCUCAUUCCCAUUUUCCUCUUCAUCUGGUUAUUCCUUUCUUUUAGCUUUUAGUUUAAAUGCAGUUCUUCAGAGAAGACAACUCCGAAUUUCACAGACCAGUUGACAUUCCUGUUACACAUUCUUCUCCCUCCCUGCACUCUCAUUAGUACUGAUCUGCCCACUCUGUACUCUCAGCAGGUUCUAAGCUGCACUGAGGGUAUCUUCUUUAUUUUGUUCACUGUUACAUCCCCAGUGCCAAGCAUGGAGCCUGGUCUAGAAAAUGCACUCAGCAAAGAAUUGGUGGAUCUUCCGUUUGCUAGGCAAACAUAGGUACCAUCCUUUCUUUUUGCAGGGCCUGUUUUCAUUCAAGGUUUACAAGUCAGUAAUUGCCUGAAAUUUUUUCCUGGCAAAUGUCAGAGUUUUCUUCAUUUAGCUGCUCAGGGACUUUGGGACAGGAAGAGGUAGAUAAAGAAUGAAUUUAUUAGAAACGUAUUUAUUUUUUUCAUUUUUAAGGCCCAUAGGUGGCAAUUUCCAUCAGAACUAAAUGUAUGGUACUUAAAAUUUUCCUAAACUAAAACUCACUGGGUGUAAAUAAGGCAUCAUUAAAAAUAUCUAUUGAUAUUUUGCAUCAGUUGAUAGCAUGUAUGAAUGAUACUAGUAACAAAAACUCAUUCAUAUUUUGCCUUUUUAGAUCAAACUCAGAGAUUUCAAUUAUUCUUCCCAUGUGAACUCACCUGAUCUACCAACACACUCCUUCCUCUAAUCCGUCUAGAAUGUACCCGCAUUGCCUUCUCCUUACAUGAUUGCUCCUCUUUUUCAGGUCUCAGCAUAAAAUUCUGGAAGUUAACUUUCAGGUUUAAUCUGAGGACACUGGAUAGAGCCGAACUAUCAAAUACGAUUCCCUACACCUUAGCAAUCUUAGCAUCUCUACCUUAGCUAAGGAUGAUGACCCCUCUCCCAUUUUAUCAUUCAUGAAGGAUUUGCUCCAAGAGAAUUAAUAAGAAGGGACAAUGUACUUCAAUGAUGGCUAAGGUUCAUAAUCGAAAUUAUAGUAUCUGGAGCUCUAGUUUGAUAUUAUCAGGCAAAGAUCUAGAUUUAAUUUUAAGGGAGGAACUUUGUACGUUGCUUCUAACAUCAAACCCAACACAACACAACAGGAAUGGCCCAACAGGGGAAGCAGGCGUGGAUCCACAGCAGAAGCCUGUAUCUUUUCUUCCUUUUUUUUUUUUUUUCAGGGGAAAGCGCAAGCACAGUCCCCCACUACCACAAAUUAUGCAAUCGAGUUUCCCACAUUUGGGAAAAUCACAGGGAUCAGCACAUCUGGAGUGCGAUGCAUAAGCCUCGCUCUGGGAAAACCACCUUCGUCAUCAGGGUAUCUCCACUGCCAGAUGAGGAACAGCCACACACAGAGCGAAGACCACAUGAGGACACAGAGAGAAGACACCACCUACAAGCCAAGAAGAGAGGCCCCGGG